UACGGGGGGGGCAAGCGUUGUUCGGAAUUACUGGGCGUAAAGGGCUCGUAGGCGGCCAACUAAGUCAUACGUGAAAUCCCUCGGCUUAACCGGGGAACUGCGUCUGAUACUGGAUGGCUUGAGUUCGGGAGAGGGAUGCGGAAUUCCAGGUGUAGCGGUGAAAUGCGUAGAUAUCUGGAGGAACACCGGUGGCGAAGGCGGCAUCCUGGACCGAUACUGACACUGAGGCGCGAAAGCGUGGGUAGCGAACAGG
rnacentral:rRNA from 1 species